rnacentral:rRNA from 1 species
GAUCCUGGCUCGGGAUGAACGCUGGCGGCAUGCCUAAUACAUGCAAGUCGAACGAGAGGAAGGAAAGCUUGCUUUUCUGAAUCUAGUGGCGAACGGGUGAGUAACACGUAGGUAACCUGCCCAUGUGCCCGGGAUAACUUCUGGAAACGGAUGCUAAAACCGGAUAGGUAGCAGACAAGCAUUUGACUGCUAUUAAAGUGGCCUUGGCCAUGAACAUGGAUGGACCUGCGGUGCAUUAG